CAUAAACCCUUAAAUCGUCCUCCAAACAGCCGGUGAUUGAGACAUCGGUUUUGUCCGUGUCUGAGCCGCCUGCAGAGACCGUUACUGUACAGCCGGAUGGAGGCAUUCAGCAUGUCCUUGGAGAUCCUCAGUAUGCACCACUACCAGAACUGACCGAUGAGGAUCUCGAGGGUCUUGCCGACAUUCCGUUGAGGCCCUCAUCGCUGUUGGAACAGCUCGACUUCACUCCCGCUCAUUGGAUAGACCCUCCAGCUACUUCCGUAGGGGGUACCGCCAGUGCAGAACCUGUAAACCAUCAGCCUGCAGCCCCCGCCUCUGGAUCACUACCCAUCAUCCAGGCCUCUAUCCACGAUCCGCCAGGCACUGUGAGUCCCUACGCCUACGGGGCAGUGGCUACGCUGCUACCAGUCGGCUCACGGUUGCUGGUGAAUACAUUGCGGGUGGGCCAUGUAUCAACUGUUGUAAAGAAUGUGCUGAUAAAUUAACCUUGGUAACUACAGCGGCUGAUGUAAAUUCCUUAACCAUUGGUCGUCAGUGUAAACUGGGUGCAUUGUCUGUGAAACGUAAUGACAGCAGAUUUCAGGCUAUCGAAGAGCAAACGAAGCAGUCACUCAAGACACUCGGGGCCAUCAAGGCCGAGAUAGCGCGUGAUCGUCGUGCUAAUGCAUCCCAGAAAGCCGAGCUAGUGCGUUAUGGUCUGGCUAUAGAAUCAAUACAGCAGAAGAAUUUGGCUGUCGAGGCAGCAGUGCGUGUUAACACUCUGGCUUUGGAUAGGGGGCCUAAGAUAUCUAAUAUAGCUCGGAAAAUUUGGCUAAUUGAAGAUACGGCGCAGGAUAACAUCAGGGCCUACAAGGCCAUGUCUGCCCGG
ensembl:lncRNA